rnacentral:lncRNA from 1 species
CUCCCGUUGGCCAGGUUAGCCCGGAGCCAGGAAGCAGGUGAGUCCAGGAAAUGCUGGAGCAGAGCAGGACAAGGAGGGGGUGUGAGCUCAUGGCCUGGCCAGCCCCAGGGACCCCUCGUGGCUUCUGGUCAGUGCCCAGCUGGGCUCCUCGCAGGCCAGGUCAGGAAAGUGUGCCAGCAGCACAGGCACGUUCAUGGACAUGACUAAUGGCCCCACCUGUCCAGAAGCCAGAUGGCCCACCUUGCUGACUUUCUGAGAGGUCCUGGGUAUUGGGGUGAAGUCACCUGAUCCCAAACCCACCCUCCUGGGGAGGACUGCUAAGACCCAAGCCAGAAGAAGGUGGUCAGGACACCAGAUCUGCUCUGGGAAGUAGGGCUUACAGCUGUGGAGCAAGCCUGGCGGGGCCUGGCCUGGGGCUUUGGACUCCAGCCACACCCUGCACUUUGGCCUUAGUGGCCUGUCCCAAGCCAUCUUCCUCUGCUCCUGCCCCAGGCCUGUACCAGAAGCAGAUGCAAAGGGCAACUGCUUGGAGUGGCAAGAUCAUGUCCCUCCUUUGGCCUUCUGUGUGAACGGCCGGCUGGAGCUGCAGAAGACAGGCCUUGGAAUGGCCAGGCUGGGCCCAGAGGUCCCCAAGCCGCAGAGCUGUGAGGACCCUCGGAUCAUUCAGCCUAGCCCUCCCCUCCCACCCUGGCAUCACUCCUGGGGCUGCAGGAGGCAGAGGUGGGCCACAAUUAGGGCCUGGCUCCAGCCUGCCCCACCUGCUGCUCGGAGCCUGAUCUCAUCUCCAUGUUCCCCUGGACUUUUCCUGGCUCUGGCCACAACAUGGACAGCCUUGGAGCCAGCUCAGAGUGGGACCAUAUCUCACCCCCACGUGUGUUCUGGAGGACCUAGAGGGGAUCCCAGGCCCCUUCCCCAUUUGCCUGUCAGCACUGUCCCAGGUCACAAUCUAUGUGCAGCUGCAGGCUGGGGCCAGAGGUGACAUGGAUGGUAAGCUGCAUGUAUACCGAGGGCCACAGCACGGGGCCUGCCACUCAGUGUCUGUGCAGCAAAGGAAUGAACCAUGCGCCCUGCCUAGGACGGCUCAGGCAGGACUGUCACCUGUGCACUGAAAGCUGCAGUGGGGACAAGCAGCACUAGAGGAACUGAGGGGGCUCCUGCUCAGCCUGGGCUGGCAGCCAGGAAGCCUGGGCCCGUUGGGUACCAAUCUCCCACCCUGCCAGGGAGGAGGGAGGCAUUCGCUCUGGCCCCUGCUCACCUGCUCACCAACGCCCUUAGACCCUCACCAGAAACCUCUCCCCAUCUGGCCACCAGGGAGGCUCGCAGGUGCUAUCGGCUUCCUCAGGACAGCAGAGAGCAGCAGGCUGCCCUGUGAUGCACAGAUCUGUCCUGGGGCAGGGAAAGGUUCUCUCCUAUGCUCCAGGGAACUAAGCCUGGAGGGAAGCAAGCCAGAUGGGGAAGGCAGGUGUGGAGCCGGUCAGGUAGGCGAGGCGAGGCUGCAGGGGGAGUCCUGUAGGAAAGGUGAGGCUGCUGGAAGUAAUGGAGGCUGGCCCCAGGCAGGCAGUGAGCCAAAUGCCAGAAAUGGAAGUCGAGGGUACCAAGUGGCUCUGGUGCCCCAGCACAUGUGGCAGGGCUGAGGCUGUGCAUAGCUUCACCACCUGAAGUCUAGGUCCUGCCCAGAGGCUCCUGCUCCCCAGGUGAGCGGCCAGGACAAGGCCCAGAGAUGGCAGCAGGCAGCCGAUGCCUGGAGGGUGAGCUUCCUGCGAAUUCAAGUGUGGCCAGGUCGGGGGAGCCUGGGGUAGGAUGCGGGGGCCCAUAGGGACAUCGCCCCUGGUCUGAGCUCUGACACGUCACUCUGCCUGGACAACUGCCAGCAGCACCAGCAGCACCCCAAGCUGGACCUGAAGCCUGGCUCUGGGGGACCCUGUGCCACCUCCAGGACAGGUGAGAGGCUGCCUUGCUUCACAGUCCUGCCUUGAGCUUAGAGCCAACAUGUGUGCGCGUGCUUUGGCUGAAACAAGGUCUCCAGAGGCUGGCCUGUCACCCCUGCUGCAUACCCCAGGGAGCAAGGGCAAGGCCACUUGGGCCUCUUGGGGUGGAAAAACAGAGCUUCCUGCCCUCAGAGGUCACUGGGAUGGCCCUGACAUUCCCAGGGCCCAGCAGUCAAGCACACAGGUCCCUAGUAACAAACACACACACACACACACACACACACACACACCACACACGCACGGCCUACUUGUACUUGGGCAUCUACAGACACAAACACUUGACCUCACAUAUCUGGACCUUGACCCACACGCAAAUUUCUAUUCAAACAGGUGGGUACCCACCCUCAGAAAUGCCCGUGUGUUUGAAGCACACCCACACGCUGUGUGAAACACAGAGUCCUAAGCUUAUCCGUACACAGCUGGUACCAACGCGCACGCACAGGCAAGUUUCCAGCUGGAGCCUCCAAACCCCCCCUCAGCCUGCCUGGCCUGACCCGGCCUCCUGCCUUCCCCCAAGCACGCGGGGUGGCUGGCCCUGUGUGAGAUGGCCCAACAGCUGGCACCAGCUUCCCGGCAUCUCUUCCAGGAAUGGGUGUGGCCACUUGUGGCACAUGAGGAGCGGGACAGCAGAACAACAGGACGGCCCUCCCCUCCCAACCACCUAUCAGAUGAGGCCAGCAAUUCCACCUUCGGAGGGUCAGGGGCUGAUGUUCGUCAACAUAAAACAACAGCUCUGCUUAAGGAACUCAGAAGACAGCAUCUUCUGAGCCAGACACGAGUGACCACGGCCCUGGAAGAUGGGCUCAAGUCCCCUGACAGAAUGGUGCCCUAUGGAAGAGGCUACAUGAGCUUUCCUAGCCACAGAACAAAGAAGGCCAUAAACCAGCAUGUUCACCAAGUAAUACUGGCGAGGGCAUCAGACAGGGGGCACAGCAAAGCAGGGACCUCCGGGGCUUCAGAGGCUGCCCCCUCGUUUUCUUGGCUUCGGGUUGGUGGGGGCUCUAGGUCCUAGAAUCUUACUAAGUGUCACAGGAUGACAGGUCAGAUACAGAGAUGGGGAGUAAAAUGGCCACCAAGGGACUAAGGGAUCCCAAGGUCACUUGGGCUCUUGACCUGCAAGGCUCCAUCUUUCUGCCAUCACCGUGUCUAUCAGCUGGCCCAUGGGGUCUUGAGCUUCUUCAGAGAACAUGGGCCCCACAAGUCACUUACCAAACGUGGAGAGAAGAUUCUUGGACCAACUCCAUCCCAAUGUGGGAACCCAAGGCCCAGAGAGAGGAAGUUACUUGACUAAGAGCUUAGAGCCAAGUGGCCCUGGGACAGAGCCAGCUCAGAACCCGGUUCUCCUGAUCCGGGUCAUUGGAAAGAGUCAGCUGGGUGACAGCUGGGAUCACAAUGAGGCCCAGGCAGAGGCUCUCGGGGCCACUCGAGCCCACCCAGGGAAGCCCACCAGAGGCCUUGGCCCACACCUGGUGGCUGCUGCUCCCAGGCUCCUCUCAGUCGGACCAGGAGAGCCACCAGGGCCCCUCCAGUCACACUCUGGGGGGAAAGGUGCCCGGUGGGGGGGCUCUCCAAACCCUCCCACAUGGUGGGGAGCUCUGGGGAGAGACCAGAGCCUGAGAGAGCAAGGGGACCAGUCACUGACACAGGACACACAGGACCCCUCCCGGCCCCAUCGGUAGCCUGGGGUAUCCACCGGGCGAGGAGAGCGGAGAGGCCCCUCCUGGGCCACCCAUCCCCUCAUCAGCCCCACGGUGGGGGGCACCUGGCAUGUAAGGCCCUGCACCCCUCCGCCUCUUCCUGCGGCCCCCUGCCCCCCUCAUCAGCUCCCCUCCUGCCUCCUCUGUCCCCUCGCCAGCAGUGGGUAGUGCCACCAUGCCCUGAUUCCCCUUGCCACACCCAGACCCUGCCAAGGCCCAGUCACAGAACCCAGCUCUUGCUCCAGUUCUGGAGCCGAUGACUCAACUGGGCCCUUCUCAGGAAAGGACCCUGGUCCUAGAGUCAGCAGGGACUGCAUGAAGGAGGUGCCUGGCCCCGAGCUUCAGAUGGACAGAGAGGAGGCACAUCACCCAGAGCCAGCAGGACCCCUCAGGAGGGAAAGGACAUCACGCGGGAGUGAGGGAAACGGAGCUUUGACGCAGCGACUGGGAGCCCUGCUGGGGGCCGAGGCUGGAGCUGGGGCUGCUCUUGCAGGCAGGGCGGGGGCCAGGUGCCUUUUGGGGCACUUAGGUUUUGAGGGCCGAGGGGUGCCCUGGCAGAGAUGGCCUGGGCAUUGGGAAGAAGGGAGCUCUGGAUCCACGCCGUGAGAAUCUGAACCGAGGCGCCAGCCACCCAUCCACCCACCCCAGGCAGGAGUGUGGGAGAGCAAGCUCUGCUGGGGCCUCAGAGAAAGGCCUGGAAUUGUGACAUGGAGGCCGAGGAGCAGAGGUUUGAGGGAGGCCUCCAGGGUGCCAGCGGCCUCUCCCUGGCUGGGAGGCUUCCAGCCAGUUACUUGACCUCUCUGAGCCUCUGGAACCUUCCAUCUCUGAAAAGGAAGAACCUUGCCCGCCAGGCCAAGGAGAGAUGUAUGUAAAAGAGACGGAGGGGUGAAACAGGGUUGCUAUAAAGUGUUUGGCUUGGGGACAGUUUCCCAACCUCCCUGACCUCCCAUUUCCUUACCUGCACAGUGGGAACAAGGAUCCCGAAUUUAGAGGGGUUGAAUUGAAACUUAGAGCAAGGGACGUGGCACCUGAUGUGAUGUAUGCCCAACGGGCAGCUUCUUCGGGUGCUGAGGGGCCUUUUGCCAACUGUGGUACCUUCUCUCAGCUCCCGUGGCCCCCAGGCUGCCUCUGUCCACUGCACUGCAGACUCAAGGACAGGACCGCCUGGCUGGGGUCCUCAGCCCGAAGCUUGGCACUCACUCAUUCACUGAAGAGCUACCUACUGUGGGCCAGGCCCUGUUCCAGCUGCCAGGUGCUAGGCACCGGACCGUGAGCAAGGUGGCCAGCUGCCUGCCUCAGAAGAGCUGGAGGGGAUGGAGAGAGAUGGCCAAGAAACAGCUGAGGAAAACCUGAGAUUCAAGAUACAAACUAAAGUCGGAGAGAAAAUAUGAGGGAAAAGCCCAGCGCAGAGAGGCUUAGAGGGCGGGAUUGUAACUUGGGUAAUCAAGGAAGGCUUCCCUGAGGAGGUGAUGUUUUUGCUGGGACCAUAAGAAAUCCAAGAAGCAGUCAUGAAAGCACCAGGGCAAAGGGCAUUCCAGGUGGACAGAAGAAGGAGGAGAGCCAGGUGGGCAUGAGUGGGGCAUGUCUGCG